AUCCAACUGACGAGUCACAAAUAGGACGAAACACUCAUCCUAGAU
rnacentral:hammerhead_ribozyme from 1 species